CACACAUUUCAGUAGCAUAUGAAGCGGUUUGGAAGCAUUGUGCAAGAGUUAAGUCCCUCACCCCAAAUGCAGUGACGCAGAGAGCUACAAGAUGAGGUGCAUCUUCAUCUUCCCCUUCUGGCACAACCUAAAGCCAAACUGGCAGAGAAGAAAACCACCAAAAAGUACAGCCAGCAUGUGGGUAGGGUUGGAUUCGCAGCCUCUGGCCUGUGACUUUGCGUGACUACUUUGCGCGACUACUUUGUGUGACUCCUCAAAGCACAGGCAGUUGAGAGUCUGAUGACACUCAAGGCCACGCGCUGUGAUGUCCAAAAUUAACUCAGCUGCUAACUGUGCUACUGCCUCCGCGGUUUGAUUGCACCCUGCCUUCCUUGAGAACGCCCCCAAGGGAUAAAGAGGAUGUUGCUCAUAUGUGCAUUUCUGAGUUUUUUUUUUUUUCUUAGUGGACAGAAAUUUUCCAUUGUGUGGGGAUUUUUUGGUCUCAUCUGAAAUCUGGUUUCCACGUAGCCUGGCGCUAUUAGUCCAGUCAUUUUACCUGACCUCUUUCUUUACUUUGGGCACAAGACAAGGCCGAGCUCAUUCUUUCGUGACAGCCACUCUGCCACCUAAGCAGAACUAACCGUCAAAAGAGCAGGCGAAUUGUAAUUCUUAAAAAAUCCAUAAGCCAGCAGUUCCUUUUAACCACAGUGACUUUCCCGGCUGGCUCGUUGUGCUGAGGCAGCGGCGCGGCUGCACAGCAGAGCGAGGCUUGGCCCCGCCUCCCUUGGCAGGAGGGCGCUGUGGCGCGUGCAAGCUCUGCUGUCCUGCCCUUCCUGUGGGACCCAGUAUGGCGUUCUAGUGAUUGUUAGCAUGCGGACUGAAUAAACGCUCGGCUUCACUGAUGUUCCCAGCCUUACAUUUGCUAAACUGUGUCAACCAGAUGGCAGCAAGGACAUCUGUGGCAGUACAGAAAUCAAGAGAUGAGAAAAGGAAAUAAAGGACUGCACUUAUAUAUGAUGUCUGAAAUAGUCAAACUCAUAGAAGCAGAGACAGAACGGCAGCUCCGGAGCUGAAUCAAAAUGCACGCAGCACAUGGAGACCCAGGAUGGCCCCAGCCAGCCCUGGCGAGUGGCAGACCAGUUCCCUCAGUGUCGUUGUCCUGUCUCCUCGGUUGUGGUGUCUUGAGAAGAAUCGUGGAGAGAACUGAUUUCAUGAACCAACGUGCCACUACCCAUAGAUGUGGAAGAGGUGUUGGAGCCCCAUCCAGAGGAGCUUUGUGAGAGCCGCCAGCACCCGACUGGGGAGGCCAGGAAGCCACGGCCGGCACUCAGAGCGAGGGAGCUCAGGCCCAGCUCAGCAAGGAGGCUCGACUAGAAGCCAGGCCCUUACCCAGGCCACUCCGUGGGACCCUCUGGAAGUGUUUCUCAUAACAAGAAGAGGCUCGCUGUGGAAGAAAUUGAGAGGCUCCCUGUACUAUUCCCAGUCAACCUGAGCCUCUUGUUUCCUGAGAAGACAAACACGACAUCCACCAUUAUCGCUGCUGGGCCAGAAGAAGGGAUUAAUGAACUCCAGUCCUCACAGAAGCCCCACGGAAAGAGGCCGUCACCCCCACUCUACCCUGGGGAACAGGGGUCACAAAACUGCUAAGGAGCCAGUCAGAGCUGGUAACGGGAUGGAGAGCCCAGGACUCAAACCAGUCACAGGUCCUGUGCUGUUCCUCGGUCAUCUUCCUGAUAGAAAAGAGGAAAGUGCCUCCGAAGGGAGCCCCACCGUGCAGAGUAUGAGGGAGUGGGAUAAGGAUUAAAAGAAGACAGCACCAUAGAGCAAGAUGAGAGAGGUUUCCAAAGGCUGCGUCUAGGACGAGCCAGGGGACCUUGAUAGCUGAGACGUUAACUCUGCAGAGAGAGGGAGAGAAGAUGAACCAGAGGACGCCUAGAACCGGUGAGCACCACGCAGGGUCCUUCAGAGACGGCGGAGUCCCGUGCUGAGAGCUCCCUCCAAGGCUGGGAUAGCUUGGGCACUUCUCUUUGCUCACGGAGAAAUCCCAAAGGCAUUUGGUUUUCUUUGAGGCCUCUACUCCCCAUUUCUUGGUGGCCAUUAUUAGUUCAAUCAAAAGGUGGCAGCCUUCGGGGCGAAUGAGCCCCCUCUUCUGAGCCAGGGAGCCCGCUUCGAAGGUGUAGCAGGCUCCGGUUUCAAGUCCCUGAUCAGGGCCAGCUGUAGCCGACCCACCCCGUCGACUCGUUGGGGACCUAGACCUGCUACUUCCUUCUCCCUGACCUGGGGGUGAAUGAGGAGGAUGAAUGGCAAACAGACACAGAGUCAGUUUAAUUUUCAGGCAGCCAGAGGAGGCCCUAGUGUCUGACUCAUCUUGCCUCUAUUUACCCGAAUGGGUGCAAGCAAUCAGAGAAACACAGGAUCCACCUGCUUUCCGGGAUUCAUUACUACAAACUCUGGUAAACAACUUAACCUCCGGCGUCCUAACUUUUCCCUGG
ensembl:lncRNA